rnacentral:rRNA from 1 species
ACUGGGGUGAAGUCGUAACAAGGUAACCGUAGGGGAACCUGCGGUUGGAUCACCUCCUUACCUUAAAGAACCUG